GAUUAUUCCGGUUGAUCCUGCCGGAGGCCAUUGCUAUUGGAGUCCGAUUUAGCCAUGCUAGUCGCACGGGUUCAGACCCGUGGCGAAUAGCUCCGUAACACGUGGCCAAACUACCCUAUGGAUCGGAAUAACCUCGGGAAACUGAGGCUAAUACCGAAUACCGCUCUCACGUUGGAAUUACAGAGAGCACGAAACGCUCCGGCGCCGUAGGAUGUGGCUGCGGCCGAUUAGGUAGACGGUGGGGUAACGGCCCACCGUGCCGAUAAUCGGUACGGGUUGUGAGAGCAAGAACCCGGAGACGGUAUCUGAGACAAGAUACCGGGCCCUACGGGGCGCAGCAGGCGCGAAACCUUUACACUGCACGAACGUGCGAUAAGGGGACUCCAAGUGCGAGGGCAUACAGUCCUCGCUUUUCCCUACCGUAAGGUGGUAGGUGAAUAAGAGCUGGGCAAGACCGGUGCCAGCCGCCGCGGUAAUACCGGCAGCUCGAGUGAUGGCCAAUAUUAUUGGGCCUAAAGCGUCCGUAGCUGGCCGAACAGGUCCGUCGGGAAAUCCGCUCGCUCAACGAGCGGACGUCCGGCGGACACCAGUCGGCUUGGGACCGGAAGACCCGAGGGGUACGUCCGGGGUAGGAGUGAAAUCCUGUAAUCCUGGACGGACCACCGGUGGCGAAAGCGCCUCGGGAGGACGGAUCCGACAGUGAGGGACGAAAGCUUGGGUCACGAACCGGAUUAGAUACCCGGGUAGUCCAAGCUGUAAACGAUGCUCGCUAGGUGUGGCACUGGCUACGAGCCAGUGCUGUGCCGUAGGGAAGCCGAGAAGCGAGCCGCCUGGGAAGUACGUCCGCAAGGAUGAAACUUAAAGGAAUUGGCGGGGGAGCACUACAACCGGAGGAGCCUGCGGUUUAAUUGGACUCAACGCCGGACAUCUCACCAGCACCGACAGUGUGCGAUGAAGAUCAGUGUAAUGAGCUUAUUGGAGCCACUGAGAGGAGGUGCAUGGCCGCCGUCAGCUCGUACCGUGAGGCGUCCUGUUAAGUCAGGCAACGAGCGAGACCCGCAUCCUUAAUUGCCAGC
rnacentral:rRNA from 1 species